rnacentral:rRNA from 1 species
GUUCUCUAUAGGGAGGGGAGAUGCGGCUACAUCUGCACCUACAAAGAGCUGCAAGACCGCGAGGGGGAGCUAAUCUCAUAAAACCGUUCUCAGUUCGGAUUGUAGGCUGCAACUCGCCUACAUGAAGCUGGAAUCGCUAGUAAUCGCGGAUCAGCAUGCCGCGGUGAAUACGUUCCCGGGCCUUGUACACACCGCCCGUCACACCACGAGAGUUUGUAACACCCGAAGUCGGUGGGGUAACCUUUUUGGAGCCAGCCGCCUAAGGUGGGACAGAUGAUUGGGGUGAAGUCGUAACAAGGUAGCCGUAUCGGAAGGUGCGGUUGGAUCACCUCCU